GAAGGUUGGACUCCUACGGGGAGGAAGGGCGGGAUAUAAAUCUAACUGUCGUUAGAAGAGGAGUGAGAGAGAUUCCUUCAAAGUCAGACUCCUUUAGAGGCUUCACCAUGGCCCCAUCUCUGUUCAUCCUCGCUCUUUUCAUUUACUGCUCAGGUGUCAGUUCCCAGGCAACUGGGAUUCAGCCUGCCUCUGAGUCGGUGUCCCCAGGACAAACGUCUAAAAUCUCCUGCACUGCUGGUAACAGCAAUUAUGCCAUUCCCUGGUAUCAACAGAGAUCUGGACAAGCCCCUCGCUUUGUGCACUGUGAUGCUUGCAGCAGCAGGGGACCCGGGAUCCCUAACCGGUUCACUGCCACCCGCUCUGGGAAUACUGGUUAUUUAACCAUCACCAAUGUCCAGGCUGAAGACGAGGCUGAUUAUUACUGCAGUAGAUUUGACAGCAGUGGCAGCACCUUACACGGUGGAGGGGGCCGCAGAGACUGCUUCAUUGCAAACAUGGAGAAGGAACAUUUUCUGUCCUGA